GAGAGAUACUACACUUCGUGCCACCACCAUAUACAGUGCUCCUCUCACUGACCACCAAUGAAAGAGGUGCCCCUUUUGGAAGUGUGGUGGGGGCUGGAUAAAUGGCCUCAGGGGCCGUAGUUUGGGGACCCCUGUAAUAGAGGAACAAAGGCUAUAAGAUGGACUUGAAAAGAUGAGGAAACAGGUCCAGAAAAGUUAAAUGACUUGCCCAGCAUCAAAAGGUAAUGCCUGACCAAAUUAUACUGGAAAAUGCCUGAAAUAUUGGAUAUCAACAAUAUCAGAAGGUUGGGCAACAAUGGCUAUGUUGCCCAGAAGUCUCUAACACAGAAGUCCAUCAUUAAGUCUCUAAAGAACUCAAAGGCCUUAUGCUUUUAGUAGAAGAUGAAUUCCAAGGUAAUCUAGCUAUAGUUCUCUUCUCGUCUAAGAAUCUUUCCUUUCUCUGGAUGGUUAAUAGCUUUGAUAUGAAACUCAAAAAUUCUUGGCCAAUUUGAUCACCGAUUUGUACUUGGAGAAGAAAGGAGAAAGAGAUGGCCAAUGACUCAAAAUGACCAAAGCAAGUUCACCAUCCUACCACCUUGUGAAUGGUGAUACUACUGUUGCUAGG
rnacentral:lncRNA from 1 species